UCCGGCUUAUCACCGGCGGUUUCUUUAGAGUGCCCAACUAAAUGAUGGCAACUAAAGACGAGGGUUGCGCUCGUUGCGGGACUUAACCCAACAUCUCACGACACGAGCUGACGACAGCCAUGCAGCACCUGUCACUCAUCCAGCCGAACUGAAGGAAAUCAUCUCUGAAAUCCGCGAUGGGGAUGUCAAACCCUGGUAAGGUUCUUCGCGUUGCUUCGAAUUGAGCAACAUCCUCCACCGCUUGUGUGAGCCCCCGUCAAUUCCUUUGAGUUUCAGCCUUGCGGCCGUACUCCCCGGGCGGGGUGCUUAAUGCGUUAGCUUCGGCACGGAGGGAGUUGACACCCCCCACACCUAGCACCCAUCGUUUACGGCGUGGACUAC
rnacentral:misc_RNA from 1 species